rnacentral:rRNA from 1 species
GGGGUAAUGGCCUACCAAGGCAACGACGGGUAGCUGGUCUGAGAGGAUGAUCAGCCACACUGGGACUGAGACACAGCCCAGACUCCUACGGGAGGCAGCAGUGGGGAAUCUUGCGCAAUGGGCGAAAGCCUGACGCAGCAACGCCGCGUGCGGGAUGAAGGCCUUCGGGCUGUAAACCGCUUUCAGCAGGAACGAAAAUGACGGUACCUGCAGAAGAAGGAGCGGCCAACUACGUGCCAGCAGCCGCGGUGACACAUAGGCUCCAAGCGUUGUCCGGAUUUAUUGGGCGUAAAGAGCUCGUAGGCGGUUGAGUAAGUCGGGUGUGAAAACUCUGGGCUUAACCCGGAGACGCCAUCCGAUACUGCUCUGACUAGAGUUCAGGAGGGGAGUGGGGAAUUCCUAGUGUAGCGGUGAAAUGCGCAGAUAUUAGGAGGAACACCGGUGGCGAAGGCGCCACUCUGGACUGAAACUGACGCUGAGGAGCGAAAGCAUGGGUAGCAAACAGGAUUAGAUACCCUGGUAGUCCAUGCCGUAAACGGUGGGCACUAGGUGUGGGUUCCAACUAACGGGAUCCGCGCCGUCGCUAACGCAUUAAGUGCCCCGCCUGGGGAG